AGCAGCAGCCGCGGUAAUACGAAGGGGGCUAGCGUUGUUCGGAAUUACUGGGCGUAAAGCGCACGUAGGCGGAUAUUUAAGUCAGGGGUGAAAUCCCGCAGCUCAACUGCGGAACUGCCUUUGAUACUGGGUAUCUUGAGUAUGGAAGAGGUUAGUGGAAUUGCGAGUGUAGAGGUGAAAUUUGUAGAUAUUCGCAGGAACACCAGUGGCGAAGGCGGCUAACUGGUCCAUAACUGACGCUGAGGUGCGAAAGCGUGGGGAGCAAACAGGAUUAGAUACCCCUGUAGUCCCUGUCUCUUAUAC
rnacentral:rRNA from 1 species